GACGAACGCUGGCGGCGUGCUUAACACAUGCAAGUCGAACGGAAAGGCCCUGCUUUUGUGGGGUGCUCGAGUGGCGAACGGGUGAGUAACACGUGAGUAACCUGCCCUUGACUUUGGGAUAACUUCAGGAAACUGGGGCUAAUACCGGAUAGGAGCUCCUGCUGCAUGGUGGGGGUUGGAAAGUUUCGGCGGUUGGGGAUGGACUCGCGGCUUAUCAGCUGGUUGGUGGGGUAGUGGCUUACCAAGGCUUUGACGGGUAGCCGGACUGAGAGGGUGACCGGCCACAUUGGGACUGAGAUACGGCCCAGACUCCUACGGGAGGCAGCAGUGGGGAAUAUUGCACAAUGGGCGGAAGCCUGAUGCAGCAACGCCGCGUGCGGGAUGACGGCCUUCGGGUUGUAAACCGCUUUCGCCUGUGACGAAGCGUGAGUGACGGUAAUGGGUAAAGAAGCACCGGCUAACUACGU
rnacentral:rRNA from 1 species